UACGUAGGGGGCUAGCGUUGUCCGGAAUCAUUGGGCGUAAAGAGCGUGUAGGCGGUCCGGUAAGUCCGCUGUGAAAGUCGGGGGCUCAACCCUCGAAUGCCGGUGGAUACUGUCGGGCUAGAGUGCGGAAGAGGCGAGUGGAAUUCCUGGUGUAGCGGUGAAAUGCGCAGAUAUCAGGAAGAACACCCGUGGCUAAGGCGGCUCUCUAGUACGUGACUGGACGCUGAGACGCGAAAGCGUGGGGAGCGAACAGG
rnacentral:rRNA from 1 species